AGAAUCAACGCUGGCGGCGUGCCUAACACAUGCAAGUCGCACGAGAAAGGGGCUUCGGCUCUGAGUAAAGUGGCGCACGGGUGAGUAACACGUGACUAAUCUACCCUCGAGUGGGGAAUAACUGAGAGAAAUCUUAGCUAAUACCGCAUAACACUUACGAGUCAAAGCAGCAAUGCGCUUGGGGAGGAGGUCGCGGCCGAUUAGCUAGUUGGCGGGGUAAUGGCCCACCAAGGCGAUGAUCGGUAU
rnacentral:rRNA from 1 species